UUAGUUUGUACUUUUGGUGCUGAUCAGAAAAUGUUAUUCUUCUACUUUUAACUUGGUAUAUUUCUCAUUUAUCCUUGUUUGCAGAACAUAUCGAUCAGAAUGCUUGCCAGCAAUUGCCAACAUUGCUGGCAAGCGUGAGAGUAACCAAUGAUACCUGGGUUACAUUUUUGUUAGUCUGGAAGUGAUCCGUUCAAUCAUUUGCAGAGGACUCUGAGGAG